rnacentral:rRNA from 1 species
ACUAUCACUUCGCAUGAAGCGAUAGUCAAAGUGUUAGCGGUGUAAGAUGGACUUGCGUCUGAUUAGCUAGUUGGUGAGAAAAAAGCCCACCAAGGCAACGAUCAGUAGCCGGCUUGAGAGAGUGUACGGCCACAUUGGGACUGAGACACGGCCCAGACUCCUACGGGAGGCAGCAGUGGGGAAUUUUGCACAAUGGGGGAAACCCUGAUGCAGCGACGCCGCGUGAUUUAGAAGGCCUUCGGGUUGUAAAAAUCUUUUGUAUAGGAAGAAAAUGACAGUACUAUACGAAUAAGGUCCGGCUAAUUACGUGCCAGCAGCCGCGGUAAUACGUAAGGACCGAGCGUUGUCCGGAAUCAUUGGGCGUAAAGGGUACGUAGGCGGGUCAUUAAGUUAGAAGUCAAAGGCUAUAGCUCAACUAUAGUAAGCUUCUAAAACUGGAGACCUUGAGUAAUGGAAGGGAAAGUGGAAUUCCUAGUGUAGCGGUGGAAUGCGCAGAUAUUAGGAGGAAUACCGGUGGCGAAGGCGACUUUCUGGCCAUUAACUGACGCUGAGGUACGAAAGCGUGGGUAGCAAACAGGAUUAGAUACCCUGGUAGUCCACGCCGUAAACGAUGAGUGUUAGGUGUCUGGAGUAAAUCUGGGUGCCGCAGCUAACGCAUUAAACACUCCGCCUGGGGAGUACGCACGCAAGUGUGAAACUCAAAGGAAUUGACGGGGACCCGCACAAGCAGCGGAGCAUGUGGUUUAAUUCGAAGCAACGCGAAGAACCUUACCAAGUCUUGACAUAUUUUGGAAGCACUUAGAGAUAAGUGCCUAUAUCUUCGGAUAACUGAAAUACAGGUGGUGCAUGGUUGUCGUCAGCUCGUGUCGUGAGAUGUUGGGUUAA